rnacentral:rRNA from 1 species
GACGAACGCUGGCGGCGUGCUUAACACAUGCAAGUCGAGCGGUAAGGCCCUUUCGGGGGUACACGAGCGGCGAACGGGUGAGUAACACGUGGGUGACCUGCCUUUAGCUCUGGGAUAAGCCUGGGAAACUGGGUCUAAUACCGGAUAUGACCCUAUGGCGCAUGUUGUGGGGUGGAAAGCCUUGUGCGGCUAGGGAUGGGCCCGCGGCCUAUCAGCUUGUUGGUGGGGUGAUGGCCUACCAAGGCGACGACGGGUAGCCGGCCUGAGAGGGCGACCGGCCACACUGGGACUGAGACACGGCCCAGACUCCUACGGGAGGCAGCAGUGGGGAAUCUUGCGCAAUGGGCGAAAGCCUGACGCAGCGACGCCGCGUGAGGGAUGAC